UACGUAGGGGGCAAGCGUUGUCCGGAAUUAUUGGGCGUAAAGAGCGUGUAGGCGGUCCGGUAAGUCAGCUGUGAAAGUCAAGGGCUCAACCCUUGAAAGCCGGUUGAUACUGUCGGGCUAGAGUCCGGAAGAGGCGAGUGGAAUUCCCGGUGUAGCGGUGAAAUGCGCAGAUAUCGGGAGGAACACCAACAGCGAAGGCAGCUCGCUGGGACGGUAUUGACGCUGAGGCGCGAAAGCGUGGGGAGCAAACAGG
rnacentral:rRNA from 1 species